UACGUAGGGUCCGAGCGUUGUCCGGAAUUACUGGGCGUAAAGAGCUCGUAGGUGGUUUGUCGCGUUGUUCGUGAAAACUCACAGCUCAACUGUGGGCGUGCGGGCGAUACGGGCAGACUUGAGUACUGCAGGGGAGACUGGAAUUCCUGGUGUAGCGGUGGAAUGCGCAGAUAUCAGGAGGAACACCGGUGGCGAAGGCGGGUCUCUGGGCCGAAACUGACGCUGAGGAGCGAAAGCGUGGGGAGCGA
rnacentral:rRNA from 1 species